UUGGCCUCAUUUUCUAAGGUUACGAGAAUAUGUCUAUUGUUAAUCAGUGGGUCUUCAACUUCUCUCUCAAAGAAAGUUUGAAUUUUCUUUUACUUUUAUGAUUUUUCUCAAGUGACUGUGUUGGGUUUGGUGAUAUUCAAAAAACAUGGCAUGAAUCAUCUAAACACACUAAGCAGCGCAAGAUAUUGCGCGUUAGCUUCCCCAACGGUUUUGAGAAGGCAGCACAUUUUGAUAAGGUCUCUUGGAGGUGGA
rnacentral:misc_RNA from 1 species